rnacentral:sRNA from 1 species
GCUGGGUGUGGUGGCGGGCGCCUGUGGUCCCAGCUACUCAGGAGGCUGAGGCAGGAGGAUCGCUUGAGCCCAGGAGGCAGAGGCUGCAGUGAGCCGAGAUUGUGCCACUGCACUCCAGCCUGGGUGACAGAGUGAGACUCUGUCUCAA